rnacentral:rRNA from 1 species
GUUAAAAAGCUCGUAGUUGGAUUUCGGAACCGGCCGAUUGGUCCGUCCUCUGGAUCGUGUACUGAUCGGUCUGUUCUUCUUCGCGAAGACCGCGUGUGCUCUUAACUGAGUGGGCGUGGGAUUCGCGACGUUUACUUUGAAAAAAUUAGAGUGUUCAAAGCAGGCAGUCGCUUGAAUAUCUCAGCAUGGAAUAAUAGAAUAGGACUUUGGUCUUAUUUUGUUGGUUUCCGAGACCGAAGUAAUGAUUAAUAGGGACAGUUGGGGGCAUUCGUAUUUCAUUGUCAGAGGUGAAAUUCUUGGAUUUAUGAAAGACGAACUUCUGCGAAAGCAUUUGCCAAGGAUGUUUUCAUUAAUCAAGAACGAAAGUUGGAGGCUCGAAGACGAUCAGAUACCGUCCUAGUUCCAACCAUAAACGAUGCCGUCUGCGGAUCGGAGGUCGCUCAUGUAAGGCUCCUUCGGCACGCUAUGAGAAAUCAAAGACUUCGGGUUCCGGGGGGAGUAUGUUCGCAAGAAUGAAACUUAAAGGAAUUGACGGAAGGGCACCACCAAGAGUGGAACCUGCGGUUUAAUUUGACUCAACACGGGAAAACUCACCAAGUCCAGACAUAGGAAGGAUUGACAGAUUGAGAGCUCUUUC